rnacentral:rRNA from 1 species
AUACGUAGGGGGCGAGCGUUGUCCGGAAUGAUUGGGCGUAAAGGGCGCGUAGGCGGCCCGGUAAGUCUGGAGUGAAAGUCCUGUUUUUAAGAUGGGUAUUGCUUUGGAUACUGUCGGGCUUGAGUGCAGGAGAGGUAAGUGGAAUUCCCAGUGUAGCGGUGAAAUGCGUAGAGAUUGGGAGGAACACCAGUGGCGAAGGCGACUUACUGGACUGUAACUGACGCUGAGGCGCGAAAGUGUGGGGAGCAAACAGGAUUAGAUACCCUGGUAGUCCACACUGUAAACGAUGAAUGCUAGGUGUAGGGGGUAUCGACCCCUUCUGUGCCGCAGUCAACACAAUAAGCAUUCCGCCUGGGGAGUACGGCCGCAAGGUUGAAACUCAAAUGAAUUGGCGGGG